UACGAAGGGGGCUAGCGUUGCUCGGAAUCACUGGGCGUAAAGGGUGCGUAGGCGGGUCUUUAAGUCAGGGGUGAAAUCCUGGAGCUCAACUCCAGAACUGCCUUUGAUACUGAAGAUCUUGAGUUCGGGAGAGGUGAGUGGAACUGCGAGUGUAGAGGUGAAAUUCGUAGAUAUUCGCAAGAACACCAGUGGCGAAGGCGGCUCACUGGCCCAAUACUGACGCUGAUGCACGAAAGCGUGGGGAGCAAACAGG
rnacentral:rRNA from 1 species